rnacentral:rRNA from 1 species
UGAGGAAUAUUGGACAAUGGGCGCAAGCCUGAUCCAGCCAUGCCGCGUGAGUGAAGAAGGCUUUAGAGUUGUAAAGCUCUUUCAGCGGGGAAGAUGAUGACGGUACCCGCAGAAGAAGCCCCGGCUAACUCCGUGCCAGCAGCCGCGGUAAUACGGAGGGGGCUAGCGUUGCUCGGAAUUACUGGGCGUAAAGGGCGUGUAGGCGGAGUGUCAAGUCAGGCGUGAAAGCCCCGGGCUCAACCCGGGAACUGCGUUUGAGACUGAUAUUCUAGAGUCCGGGAGAGGGUGGUGGAAUUCCCAGUGUAGAGGUGAAAUUCGUAGAUAUUGGGAAGAACACCAGUGGCGAAGGCGGCCACCUGGACCGGUACUGACGCUGAGGCGCGAAAGCGUGGGGAGCAAACAGGAUUAGAUACCCCCGUAGUCC